GAUAACCCGCAUCUGAACUUCCCGCGGCGGCAGCUCAAGUAUCAGCAGGAGCUGGGCACUGGCUGGUUCGGCCAGGCGCUGGUGGGGGAGGCCCGCGACCUGACGGCCGAGCCGCGCACCGCCGUGGUGGUGAAGGCGCUGCGGGCGGGCGCCACGCUGCCCGAGCAGAUGUACUUCCUGCACGAGAUGUCGUACCUGCGCGACGCCAAC